rnacentral:rRNA from 1 species
UCAGAGAUGAGAAUUUGCCUUCGGGAACCGUGAGACAGGUGCUGCAUGGCUGUUGUCAGCUUGUGUUGUGAAAUGUUGGGUUAAGUCCCGCAACGAGCGCAACCCUUAUCUUUUGUUGCCAGCGGUCCGGCCGGGAACUCAAAGGAGACUGCCAGUGAUAAACCGGAGGAAGGUGGGGAUGACGUCAAGUCAUCAUGCCCCUUAUGACCAGGGCUACACACGUGCUACAAUGGAGCAUACAAAGAGAAGCGACCUCGCGAGAGCAAGCGGACCUCAUAAAGUGCGUCGUAGUCCGGAUUGGAGUCUGCAACUCGACUCCAUGAAGUCGGAAUCGCUAGUAAUCGUGGAUCAGAAUGCCACGGUGAAUACGUUCCCGGGCCUUGUACACACCGCCCGUCACCCCAUGGGAGUGGGUAGCAAAAGAAGUAGGUAGGUUAACCUUCGGAGCC